AUGUCUCUUCGUAUUUUUUAGAUGAAGAGUCCAGCCUGCCCGGUGAUUUUUUUAACGGCCGCGGUACUUUGACCGUGCGAAGGUAGCAUAAUCAUUUGUCUUAUAAUUGAAGGCUAGUAUGAAUGGUUUAACAUGGUUACUACUGUCUCUCUAAAAAUUUUUUAGAAUUUUAUUUUUAGGUUAAAAAGCCUAAAUUUUAUUAAAAGACAAGAAGACCCUAUCGAGCUUUAAAUUAUUAUUUUUUAGGUGUUUGUAGAUUUUUUUAAGCUGAAUUCUAUUAAAAAUUUUUAGUUGGGGCGACUAAGGAACAUACAAAGCUUCCUUCAAUAGGAAUUCACCUGCGCGUAGUGAUCCAAUUAUUUUGAUUAAUGAAAUUAGUUACCGUAGGGAUAACAGCAUAAUCCCCCUAAAGAGUUCAUAUCGAAAGGGGGGUUUGUGACCUCGAUGUUGGACCAAAGUAUCCUGAAGGUGCAGCAGUCUUCAAGGGUUGGUCUGUUCGACCAUUAAAACUUUACGUGAUCUGAGUUCAGACCGG
rnacentral:rRNA from 1 species